rnacentral:rRNA from 1 species
AUUGAACGCUGGCGGCAUGCUUUACACAUGCAAGUCGAACGGCAGCACGGGGGCAACCCUCGGUGGCGAGUGGCGAACGGGUGAGUAACACAUCGGAACGUGUCCAGUUGUGGGGGAUAACCCAUCGAAAGGUGGGCUAAUACCGCAUGAGCUGGCAACAGGAAAGCGGGGGACCCGCAAGGGCCUUGUGCGAUUGGAGCGGCCGAUGUCCGAUUAGCUAGUUGGUGGGGAAAGGCCUACCAAGGCUUCGAUCGGUAGCUGGUCUGAGAGGAUGAUCAGCCACACUGGGACUGAGACACGGCCCAGACU